CAAGCUCAAAUCUUCCUUUCCUAUGCACAUUAUGCCAAGCAUGCACAAUCUUCUGCUUCAAAUGUUGGGAACCUUUACCCUCUUGAUAGAAAAGACCUUCUAACAACAUGUUAUUAGGUUUGUCUCUCAAGGGGAACCCAAGUUGACGACGAGCCAAAGCAGGGUUGUAGUUAAUUCCUCCUUGUGUACCAAUGAAGUGUCCCUUGAGAAAUUUGAUCAAUUGGUGAGAUAGCUUG
rnacentral:lncRNA from 1 species